CUGAACCAGCCAAGUAGCGUGAAGGAUGAAGGGUCCUACGGAUUGUAAACUUCUUUUAUACGGGAAUAAAGUCCUACGUGUAGGAUUUUGUAUGUACCGUAUGAAUAAGCAUCGGCUAACUCCGUGCCAGCAGCCGCGGUAAUACGGAGGAUGCGAGCGUUAUCCGGAUUUAUUGGGUUUAAAGGGAGCGCAGACGGGAGAUUAAGUCAGUUGUGAAAGUUUGCGG
rnacentral:rRNA from 1 species